GACGUAGGGUCCAAGCGUUGUCCGGAUUUACUGGGCGUAAAGAGCGCGUAGGCGGUCUGUUAAGUGUAGAGUGAAAUCUCCGGGCUUACCUCGGAGGGGUCGUCCGUGACUGGCAGGCUUGGGUCUGGGAGAGGCGAGUGGAAUUCCCGGUGGAGCGGUGAAAUGCGUAGAGGUCGGGAGGAACACCAGUGGCGUAGGCGGCGUUCUGGACUGCAACUGGCACUGAGGAACGAAAGCCAGGGGAGCAAACGGG
rnacentral:rRNA from 1 species